UACAGAGGGGGCAAGCGUUGUUCGGAAUUACUGGGCGUAAAGGGCGCGUAGGCGGCCUGUUAAGUCGAACGUGAAAUCCCCCGGGCUCAACCCGGGAACUGCGUCCGAUACUGGCAGGCUCGAAUCGGGAGAGGGAUGCGGAAUUCCAGGUGUAGCGGUGAAAUGCGUAGAUAGUCUGGAGGAACACCGGUGGCGAAGGCGGCUCACUGGGCCCGAUACUGACGACUGACGGCACGGAAAGCGUGGGGGAGCAAACAGG
rnacentral:rRNA from 1 species